AUUCUAUCAUGGUUGUAAAUUAAAGGUUUGUUACACAGUUAUUCAGCUAGAAUUCAUAGACAUAGGCUUUCAGAAUGGUUUUAAUUGGGGAAGUACAAUUUCUGCUCAACCCUCUAGUGUCUACCUGUAAACCACAGAAUGUCUGUUCUAAUCAAGUCUGUUUAACUGCAUCCUAAUAGAUUGAGCGUUGGUGGCGGGAGCUCCACGAACGUUUAGAGAAAUACUUUAAGCAUCAUUUGAACUGGCUGAAGAACAAUAACGAGUACAAUCCAUCCAGUCAGACUGACAGGUACAUGUACAAUAUGUAACCAUUUUAAUAUAAUAUACACAAAAUUGAUCAGUAUUAGAUGUUCAAGCUUAUAUUUCACUAAAUUACAGAAUGCUUCUUGCCUUUUUGAUGGUGCCACUUCUGCAAAGAGAGCUUGGUGUAUUUAAAGAGACUGUUUGGAACACGCACAGAAUCCGUACACAGAAAGGUACAAAUCUUCCAGCAGGGGUGCCAAACCAUAUAUACAACUUUCCUGAACAAUAUGGACUUGAAGAGAAAGGUACUGUUAAAUUAAACAAAAUAUUUUGUCACUAAAGUCUAUAUGUAGUUCUAUUUAGCCAAAUAAAAUUUCUUAAGUAAUUUGCCUUGACCCCUUCCUUAUUCUUUCCUGUUUUGAAACCAGACAACCUGGGUACUAGAUUUUAAUUUGUAGGUUGGGCUGUGAGCGAAGAAGAAUUACAAGAAGUGGCAAUGAAUUCAGGUGUUCUUGAAGUUGAAACAGAUUUCCUAGAGGAAGAUUUUCGGGCAGAAUGUGAAAGAGUCUUACCAUACCCUAGUAAAGUAGAGCCCAGUGAAUGCAGAGAUGCAUUUUUAUAUCUGAAAGAGAAAUGUAAUUUCCAAACAUCGUCAGCCUCAUAAUCAAUUUUGGUUUACUACAGUUACAUUGUAAAUUUAAAAUAUUUCAAUGGAUGAAUGGUUGCAUUUAAUAACUGGACUGGAGAAGUUAACAAAUCAAUAGACACCUUUUAUGGAAUAAACACCCCCUUAAAAUACCCAAUGCCCAGUGUGUUUAUCAGCCAGCCUCAGUGGGAACUAGGUUGGGUGUUUAUUAGAUAAUUUAUGGUGGACAUGUAAAUAGUCCAGGUGAGGCAGUUAAUUGAUAAAAUGGAAAAAAUCGAUGUUUUUUGUAAACCAAUUCAACCAACAUUAUUAUUUGGAAAAAACUGUUUGAAACUCAGUAAAAUUGGAACAAACAGCACACAUAACAGUAGCUUACCAAUUACAUGUUACCAUUUAAAUACAACUGUUUUUAAAACUAGCAUGAAGUUUAAUCUAGCUUGAGUAUUUUUUGACAUGUUAUAAAAAUUUGUUCUCAGAUGGAUUUUGGUUUUCCCCCUGAACCAUGUAACUAAACAAUAACAUUUAGUAAUACUAUCUCAAGUUAAAUACUGGUGUCC